UAGAGUGCACAAACCAUUUUGUGGGUAAAGUCACAUCCUGAAAUGGUUUUAAUGAUGGGCGACAUGUUAACAGCCCUACCUUUCUUCCUGAUGAGGUUGGUUUCUGAUUUUCUGGAAACUGAGACGACUUUCAUCAGCAGCCGACUUCCUCCCUGUCGGAUCAGAGAGACGACCUGCCGGUGACCCACCUUCACCACGUCGGUCCCGUUAACCUGCAGAGGAAAAACAGAUGACCACUGUCACCUCUAUGAGGAAAUCUCCGGUCCUUAGCCCCGCCCUCCAAGCCACGCCCCCCUGAUCCACUGAUUCCAGAUACUGCAAAGCGGGAAAAGCCGGUGUGGGAGCGAAUUCUUCGAUAGGCGUCUCAGCUGGAAGCAGAGUUCACAGAACCAACAAAUCCUGACAGGAAACAGACGGAGUCGUGUUUAAACUCACCAACAUCAGAGGUUUUGUGGAUCUUGAUGAUUUCAGCCAGAUCAAAGUUCCCAGCGAUGAUCGCCACCUGCACAAACACACAGACAUCGAUCAGAAAGCAUCAUCCUCUCAAACAUACCGAUGGUGGCGUGGUCCUGAAGCAGCAGCUCGCAGCAGUAGGGGGCGCCGCCCACCAUGGCACAGUGGUAGAGCGGAGUCAGACCUCUGCUGUCCUUGUAGUCCGGAGACGCUCCAAGGUCCAGUAGAGUCUGAGCACCAGAACACAGGUCAGAGAGCGAACAGCGUUAAACUGAGGGGUCUGGGGGAGAGACUGGAAGCUUUCCUCACCGUGAGCGCGGCGCUGUUCCUGCAGAGGACGGCCCGGUGGAGAGCCGUGAUGCCGUCCCUGGUCCUGAAGUCCAGGUGAGCUCCUCCGCUGCGAAGGACCUUAAUGAGCUCACAGCUGUCCUCCAGCUGGACAGCCAGAGUCAGGGGACACUCUGAGGACACAGAGAGGUUCA